GACGAACGCUGGCGGCGUGCCUAAUACAUGCAAGUCGAGCGGACCUCUUCGGAGGUUAGCGGCGGACGGGUGAGUAACACGUGGGCAACCUGCCUGUAAGACUGGGAUAACUCCGGGAAACCGGAGCUAAUACCGGAUAGUAUCUUGAACCGCAUGGUUCAAGUUGGAAAGACGGUUUCGGCUGUCACUUACAGAUGGGCCCGCGGCGCAUUAGCUAGUUGGUGAGGUAAUGGCUCACCAAGGCAACGAUGCGUAGCCGACCUGAGAGGGUGAUCGGCCACACUGGGACUGAGACACGGCCCAGACUCCUACGGGAGGCAGCAGUAGGGAAUCUUCCGCAAUGGACGAAAGUCUGACGGAGCAACGCCGCGUGAGUGGUGAAGGUUUUCGGAUCGUAAAACUCUGUUGUUAGGGAAGAACAAGUGCGAGAGUAACUGCUCGCACCUUGACGGUACCUAACCAGAAAGCCACGGCUAACUACGUGCCAGCAGCCGCCGCGG
rnacentral:rRNA from 1 species